GUGAGGAAUUUUCCGCAAUGGGCGAAAGCCUGACGGAGCAAUGCCGCGUGAAGGAUGAAGGCCUAUGGGUUGUAAACUUCUUUUCUCAGAAAAGAAUUAUGACGGUAUCUGAGGAAUAAGCAUCGGCUAACUCUGUGCCAGCAGCCGCGGUAAGACAGAGGAUGCAAGCGUUAUCCGGAACGAUUGGGCGUAAAGCGUCUGUAGGUUGUUUAAAAAGUAUUCUGUCAAAGAUUAGGGCUUAACCCUAGAUAGGCAGAAUAAACUUUUAAGCUAGAGUUUGGUAGAGGCGGAGGGAAUUCCCGGUGGAGCGGUGAAAUGCGUAGAUAUCGGGAGGAACACCAAAGGCGAAGGCACUCUGCUGGGCCAAUACUAACACUGAGAGACGAAAGCGAGGGGAGCAAAUGGGAUUAGAAACCCCAGUAGUCC
rnacentral:rRNA from 1 species